GAUUGGGUGAGGGAUAGCAGCGAAAAUCCUUUUUUGAUUUUUUAUCAAAAAAGAUUGAAGUGCAUAGCCCGACCCGCU
rnacentral:sRNA from 1 species